ACAGGGUGUGGUGGUGUGUCUACCUGUGGUCCCAGCUACACUGAAGGCUGAGGCUGGAGGAUGGCUUCAGCCAGGAGUUCUGGGCCGUAGUACACUAUGCACUAAGUUUGGCAUCAAUAUGGUGACCUCCCAGGAGUUGGGAACCACCAGUUUGCCUAAGAGGUGAAACAGCCAAGAAUGGAAACAAAGGAGGUCAAAACUCCUGUGCUGAUUAGCAGUGGAAUCGUGCCUGUGAAUAGCCACUGCACUCCAGCGUGGACAACACAAUGAGUCCCCGUCUCU
rnacentral:SRP_RNA from 1 species